rnacentral:rRNA from 1 species
AACGAACGCUGGCGGCAGGCCUAACACAUGCAAGUCGAGCGAGGACUUCGGUCCUAGCGGCGGACGGGUGAGUAACGCGUGGGAACGUGCCCUUUGCUUCGGAAUAGCCCUGGGAAACUGGGAGUAAUACCGGAUGAGCCCUUUGGGGGAAAGAUUUAUCGGCGAAGGAUCGGCCCGCGUUGGAUUAGGUAGUUGGUGGGGUAAUGGCCUACCAAGCCGACGAUCCAUAGCUGGUUUGAGAGGAUGAUCAGCCACACUGGGACUGAGACACGGCCCAGACUCCUACGGGAGGCAGCAGUGGGGAAUCUUAGACAAUGGGGGAAACCCUGAUCUAGCCAUGCCGCGUGAGCGAUGAAGGCCUUAGGGUUGUAAAGCUCUUUCAGCUGGGAAGAUAAUGACGGUACCAGCAGAAGAAGCCCCGGCCAACUCCGUG